rnacentral:rRNA from 1 species
GAUCCUGGCUCAGGAUGAACGCUGGCGGCGUGCUUAACACAUGCAAGUCGAACGAAGCACUUUUACAGAUUUCUUCGGAAUGAAGUUUGGUGACUGAGUGGCGGACGGGUGAGUAACGCGUGGGUAACCUGCCUCACACAGGGGGAUAACAGUUGGAAACGGCUGCUAAUACCGCAUAAGCGCACAGUACCGCAUGGUACGGUGUGAAAAACUCUGGUGGUGUGAGAUGGACCCGCGUCUGAUUAGCUAGUUGGCAGGGUAACGGCCUACCAAGGCGACGAUCAGUAGCCGACCUGAGAGGGUGACCGGCCACAUUGGGACUGAGACACGGCCCAAACUCCUACGGGAGGCAGCAGUGGGGAAUAUUGCACAAUGGGGGAAACCCUGAUGCAGCGACGCCGCGUGAGCGAAGAAGUAUUUCGGUAUGUAAAGCUCUAUCAGCAGGGAAGAAGAAAUGACGGUACCUGACUAAGAAGCACCGGCUAAAUACGUG